rnacentral:rRNA from 1 species
UACGUAGGCAGCGAGCGUUGUUCGGAGUUACUGGGCGUAAAGGGCGCGUAGGCGGUUCGUUAAGUCCUGUGUGAAAUCCCCCGGCUCAACUGGGGAACUGCACAGGAAACUAGCGGGCUUGAGUUCGGGAGAGGGAAGCGGAAUUCCGGGUGUAGCGGUGAAAUGCGUAGAUAUCCGGAGGAACACCGGUGGCGAAGGCGGCUUCCUGGACCGACACUGACGCUGAGGCGCGAAAGCGUGGGGAGCGAACAGG